GGGCGCCCGAGUCUGCGGACCGCUCUACCGCACCUGGUUCUGGCUCUGGGCCCCGGGCCCCGUGGCUGCCAGGGGCCGCCGGGAAGGGAGGAUGCGCGCCACUGGGGUGCGCCUGGCUUGCGGCACCCUCCUCCCGCAGUGGUCGGAAGAGUCUUGGCCCUGAAUUUUAUAUUCCAGAAAUCCCUCAGUAGGUUUGGGGGUACGUGUGAAGGUUGGUUACAUAGGUAAACGUGUCAUGAGGGUUUGUUUUACAUAUUAUUUCAUCACCCAGGACUUCUGUAGACAAGACAGAUACUGUAAAGACAGCAAAGAACAAACAGAAUGGCAGAUUGCUAAUGUUUGAUCCAAACGAAAAAGUGAUGAUUGAAUCAAACGAAGCAAUGUCAGAGUAAGAAGAUGUCUUUGAUUGUGCAGCUGAUCUCUCCCAUGCCUUUUAAGCAAUUAGAACUAGAUAAUGCAGCCAUUUGUCACCCAAUUAAAUUUGAAAGGCCAGAAAUGCAUGGAUUAGCACUUCAGCUUUUGCUGCAGUCAAAGCAAUUGUUACUAUAGAUAGAAGGACAGUUAAAAUGAAAAAUGAAUUUUGAUAAAAAUGCAGAAGUAUAGAUAAUAUUCACUUCUACUUUUUAAUGCUUAAACACCCUGUAUUCUGUAUUUUACUUGUAUCAUAAUUUUCAUUGCUCAUUCCUAUUUCCCUUUGAUACUUAUUUCUUUCACAAUAUUUCUUCAAGUGAAUAUGUACUUUAAAAUUAACAAAUUAUUUACUAUAACAUGAAUUGUUACUACUCAAUAAAGAAAGUAAUCACCUCAACUAGUUGAAGAAACUGGUGUUAAAAAAAUUGUAUUCUUUCCAGCCUUUUGGCUAAGAUCAAGUGUAAAAAAAUCACAGUACAAUAUCAAUUUAGUAGCUAAAUUUUAAAUAUCUUCUCUGUUCAAGGCUCUGAUUCUGAUAAUCUAUUAAAGCCCUUCCUGUAGUCAUCUCCUACUUUCUGAAAAAAAAAUCUCUAUUUAUUCUAUGAAAAAUUACAGCUUGAAAGUUGAUCAUAAACACAUUUGUGGGGAUUACUGACAAAUUAGUAGGUACUAUUCUGGUGGGAUUCUUCUAUUCAAAUUCAUACUGUUUUUGUUUAUUCUAAAUAUUGACUGGGAAAAAUUCUACCCUAGACAACAUAUAUUUAAAUUUUCAUAUUGUCAAAACGAAAAAUGUCCACCUUGGCUUUUGUUGUAAAUUAUAUGUAUAUUACAUAUUAUAUAAUACAUGUUUUUAUAUUAAAGAGAAAGUAAUGUAUAGCAAAUCAGUGACAGAGGACCUUAUUUAUUUUCAUUUAAAGUUACAAUCAACCAGAAAAAAAGAGCCUUGUUACAU
rnacentral:lncRNA from 1 species